AGGUAAUAUAACUUCUCACAUAGGAAGUCAAAAGAAUACAAGGUAAUAUAACUUCUCACAUAGGAAGUCAAAAGAAUACAAGGUAAUAUAACUUCUCACAUAGGAAGUCAAAAGAAUACAAGGUAAUAUAACUUCUCACAUAGGAAGUCAAAAGAAUACAAGGUAAUAUAACUUCUCACAUAGGAAGUCAAAAGAAUACAAGGUAA